GACGGAGGGCGCUAGCGUUGUUCGGAAUCACUGGGCGUAAAGGGCGCGUAGGCGGCCAUGUAAGUCGGGGGUGAAAGCCCGGGGCUCAACCCCGGAACGGCCUUCGAGACUGCGUGGCUGGAGACCGGAAGAGGAGGGUGGAAUACCCAGUGUAGAGGUGAAAUUCGUAGAUAUUGGGUGGAACACCAGUGGCGAAAGCGGCUCUCUGGUCCGGAUCUGACGCUGAGGCGCGAAAGUGUGGGGAGCACACAGG
rnacentral:rRNA from 1 species